rnacentral:rRNA from 1 species
UGCGUAGGCGGACUAAUAAGUCAGUGGUGAAAUCUCUCGGCUCAACCGGGAAACUGCCAUUGAUACUGUUAGUCUUGAGUUCGGUUGAGGUAGGCGGAAUGGGUAAUGUAGCGGUGAAAUGCUUAGAUAUUACACAGAACACCAAUUGCGUAGGCAGCUUACUAGACCGACACUGACGCUGAGGCACGAAAGCGUGGGGAGCGAACAGGAUUAGAUACCCUGGUAGUC